AUUAAAGCACUGGUUCCCAUUUGAUCACCAAAGUUAAGCAACAUCAAGUCUGGUCAGAACCUAGAUGGGUGACUGAUUGGGAAUACCAGGUGCUGUAA
rnacentral:rRNA from 1 species